UACGUAGGCAGCGAGCGUUGUUCGGAGUUACUGGGCGUAAAGAGUGCGUAGGCGGUUUUCUAAGUUUGGUGUGAAAUCUCCCGGCUUAACUGGGAGGGUGCGCCGAAGACGGGAAGGCUUGAGUAUGGGAGAGGUAAGCGGAAUUCCUGGUGUAGCGGUGAAAUGCGUAGAUAUCAGGAGGAACACCUGCGGUGUAGACGGCUUACUGGACCAUAACUGACGCUGAGGCACGAAAGCGUGGGUAGCAAACAGG
rnacentral:rRNA from 1 species